rnacentral:tRNA from 1 species
AUCUAAGUAUCUUAUGCUAUAAAGGUUUACUGUGAAGUAGUGAGAAAGGACUAAUCGCCCUUAGAUU